rnacentral:lncRNA from 1 species
UGGCGUUAGCAAAUCUCUGACAUACGUCGCACCUCCGGACAAACUCUUCUGCUUCUUUUUUAACAGUGGGCCAGUAGUACCCUUGCCUGAAUAUUUUGUUGGCUAAUGUCCCUGCUCCCUCGUGAGCCCCACAUAGGCCUCUAUGUAUUUCCUCCAUUACCUUUGCAGCUUCUUCCGGACUCACACACCGGAGCCAUGGGCUGGACUUCCCUUUUCUGUAUAAGGUUCCCCUUAUUGCUUGGUAGUUGGCAGCACGAGCUGCUAUCUUUCUGGCUUCAUCUUUAUCUUCGGGGAGCUCACCCUCCUCCAAGUAUCUCAGGUAUGGGGUCAUCCAAGUUGGGCUCUGUUCCACCUGUA